rnacentral:rRNA from 1 species
GAUGAACGCUAGCGGGAGGCUUAAUACAUGCAAGUCGAACGGUAACAGCAGUGUUUACAUUGGCUGACGAGUGGCGCACGGGUGAGUAACGCGUACACAACCUACCCUUAACAGGGGAAUAGUCACGGGAAACUGUGAAUAAUACCCCAUAAUAUUGCUAGAUCGCAUGAGAAGGCAAUUAAAGCUCCGGCGGUUAAGGAUGGGUGUGCGUACUAUUAGAUAGUUGGUGAGGUAACGGCCCACCAAGUCGACGAUAGUUAGGGGGCGUGAGAGCGUGAUCCCCCACACGGGUACUGAGACACGGACCCGACUCCUACGGGGAGCAGCAGUAAGGAUAUUGGACAAUGGGCAAAGCCUGAUCCAGCCAUCCCGCGUGCAGGAUGACAGCCCUAUGGGUCGUAAACUGCUUUUAUUUGGGAA